rnacentral:rRNA from 1 species
AAUGAACGCUGGCGGCAUGCCUAACACAUGCAAGUCGAACGAAGGCUUCGGCCUUAGUGGCGCACGGGUGCGUAACGCGUGGGAAUCUGCCCUUGGGUUCGGAAUAACAGUUAGAAAUGACUGCUAAUACCGGAUGAUGUCGUAAGACCAAAGAUUUAUCGCCCAAGGAUGAGCCCGCGUAGGAUUAGCUAGUUGGUGGGGUAAAGGCCUACCAAGGCGCCGAUCCUUAGCUGGUCUGAGAGGAUGAUCAGCCACACUGGGACUGAGACACGGCCCAGACUCCUACGGGAGGCAGCAGUGGGGAAUAUUGGACAAUGGGCGAAAGCCUGAUCCAGCAAUGCCGCGUGAGUGAUGAAGGCCUUAGGGUUGUAAAGCUCUUUUACCCGGGAUGAUAAUGACAGUACCGGGAGAAUAAGCUCCGGCUAACUUCGUG